UAUACAUGCACCAAAGCUCUGACCUUGCGGGAAGAGUGCAUUUAUUAGAACAAAACCAGGCGGCCUUCGGGUCGUUUUUUGUUGACUCAGAAUAACUAAGCUGAUCGCAUGGUCUCGUACCGGCGACGUGUCUUUCAAGUGUCUGCCUUAUCAACUUUCGAUGGUAGUGUAUGUGACUACCAUGGUUGUGACGGGUAACGGAGGAUAAGGGUUUGACUCCGGAGAAGGGGCCUGAGAAAUGGCCACUACGUCUAAGGAUGGCAGCAGGCGCGCAAAUUACCCACUCUCAGAAUGAGGAGGUAGUGACGAGAAAUAACGAGACCGUUCUCUUAGAGGCCGGUCAUCGGAAUGGGUACAAUCUAAACCCUUUAACGAGUAUCUAUGAGAGGGCAAGUCUGGUGCCAGCAGCCGCGGUAAUUCCAGCUCUCAAAAUGCAUAGAAUUAUUGCUGCGGUUAAAAAGCUCGUAGUUGGAUCUGUGCCGCAGGACUCGGUCCGCCUUCGGGCGCGCACUGAGCUCCUCGGCUUUUCUGCUGGUUUUCCCGUUAUGGUCUUAACCGGCCGUAGCGGGUGGCUGGCGAUUUUACUUUGAACAAAUCAGAGUGCUCAACACAGGCGUUUCGCUUGAAUGUUCUUGCAUGGAAUAAUAGAAGAGGAUUUCGGUCCUAUUUUAUUGGUUUUAUAGGCUGAAAUAAUGGUUAAUAGAGACAAACGGGGGCAUUCGUAUCGCUGCGUGAGAGGUGAAAUUCUUGGACCGCAGCGAGACGAACUACAGCGAAAGCAUUUGCCAAGAAUGUCUUCAUUAAUCAAGAACGAAAGUCAGAGGUUCGAAGGCGAUCAGAUACCGCCCUA
rnacentral:rRNA from 1 species